rnacentral:lncRNA from 1 species
CGUGUCUUGAAUAAAAAAUAAAUAACAAAAUAUUUCAUCUUCAUCCAAUACAAGAGAGGGAUUAGCAUAGCAUAGUGUUGGAAUUAAAUACAUAAAAGUGGAACAACACCACCAAAAUUUGACGGAACGUGAUUAAUAUCCAGAUGAAAGUUGCUGUCUUUUUCAAAAUAGUUGGCCGUUAAUUGUGUUCUGCUGUCCCAAUUCUGCGUGUGUAUGAUAUAUACUUCAAUUCCAGCCGGGUGCACGUAGAUGUAUAUGUUCUAGCUGCCGUGUUCAAUGUAUUUGAAUUCCUCCUGCCCGAUUGCCAUUUUUCUCCCUUAAUUCUAGCCGCCUAUAUAUGUGAACAUAAUAUAAACCAUCUGCCGGAAGUUGUAUGUGUCUCCUUCAGCUGCACACUGCUGUGUAUAUAUAGAUAAUUAAACCGGCAGCCGCCUUUGUUGCGUGUGUGUCUAUAUAUAUAUAUAUAUAUAAUUUAACUCCCCAACAAAUUCCGUCAAGCUGCUGCCUUUUUUUGUAUCAAUAUAUAUCACGUACAGACGGCGUCUCUCUCCUCCAGUUGGCGUGUGGAAUAC